GAGAGUGGCGCACGGGUGCGUAACGCGUGAGCAACCUGCCCAUAUCAGGGGGAUAGCCCGGAGAAAUCCGGAUUAACACCGCAUGACACGCCGGGACGGCAUCGUCCCGGCGUCAAAUAUUCAUAGGAUAUGGAUGGGCUCGCGUGACAUUAGCUAGUUGGUGGGGUAACGGCCCACCAAGGCGACGAUGUCUAGGGGCUCUGAGAGGAGAAUCCCCCACACUGGUACUGAGACACGGACCAGACUCCUACGGGAGGCAGCAGUAAGGAAUAUUGGUCAAUGGGGGCAACCCUGAACCAGCCAUGCCGCGUGCAGGACGACUGCCCUAUGGGUUGUAAACUGCUUUUGCCGGGGAAUAAACCCCACUACGUGUAGUGGGCUGAACGUACCCGGAGAAUAAGGAUCGGCUAACUCCGUGCCAGCAGCCGCGGUAAUACGGAGGAUCCGAGCGUUAUCCGGAUUUAUUGGGUUUAAAGGGUGCGUAGGCGGCACUUUAAGUCAGGGGUGAAAGACGGCAGCUCAACUGUCGCAGUGCCCUUGAUACUGAAGUGCUUGAAUGCGGUUGAAGACGGCGGAAUGAGACAAGUAGCGGUGAAAUGCAUAGAUAUGUCUCAGAACACCGAUUGCGAAGGCAGCUGUCUAAGCCGUUAUUGACGCUGAUGCACGAAAGCGUGGGGAUCGAACAGGAUUAGAUACCCUGGUAGUCCACGCCCUAAACGAUGAUAACUCGAUGUUUGCGAUAUACCGUAAGCGUCCAAGCGAAAGCGUUAAGUUAUCCACCUGGGGAGUACGCCCGCAAGGGUGAAACUCAAAGGAAUUGACGGGGGCCCGCACAAGCGGAGGAGCAUGUG
rnacentral:rRNA from 1 species